AUUGACCGCUGGCGGCAGGCCUAACACAUGCCAGUCGACCGAGUGACGGACGGGUGAGUAAUUUCUGGGAAACUGCCUGAUGGAGGGGGAUAACUACUGUAAACGGUAGCUAAUACCGCAUACCAUCAGAUGUGCCCAGAUGGGAUUAGCUUGUUGGUGGGGUAACGGCUCACCAAGGCGACGAUCCCUAGCUGGUCUAAGAGGAUGACCAGCCAAACUGGAACGGAGACACGGUCCAGUCUCCUACGGGAGGCAGCAGUGGGGAAUAUGGCACAAUGGGCGCAAGCCUGAUGCAGCCAUGCCGCGUGUAUGAAGAAGGCCUUCGGGUUGUAAAGUACUUUCAGCGGGGAGGCGUUACCCGCAGAAGAAGCACCGGCUAACUCCGUGCCAGCAGCCGCGGUAAUAC
rnacentral:rRNA from 1 species